GACAGAGGGUGCGAGCGUUAAUCGGAAUGACUGGGCGUAAAGGGCGUGUAGGUGGCUAUUUAGGUUUGGUGUGAAAGCCCCCGGCUCAACCGGGGAAGUGCGCCAAAUACCGGGUGGCUAGAGUAAAAGAGAGGGCUACGGAAUUUCCGGUGUAGCGGUGAAAUGCGCAGAUAUCAGGAAGAACACCCGUGGCGAAGGCGGCUCUCUGGGACGGUACUGACGCUGAGACGCGAAAGCGUGGGGAGCGAACAGG
rnacentral:rRNA from 1 species